rnacentral:rRNA from 1 species
ACGUAGGUGGCGAGCGUUACUCGGAAUUACUAGGCGUAAAGCGUAUGUAGGCGGUUGUAUAAGUCUAUGGUGAAAUUUCCUGGCUCAACUGGGAAGGGACAUAGAUACUGUAUGGCUUGAGUGUUGGAGGGGGAGACGGAAUUCCUGGUGUAGCGGUGAAAUGCGUAGAUAUCAGGAGGAACACCGAUGGCGAAAGCAGUCUCCUGGCCAAAUACUGACGCUGAGGUACGAAAGCUAGGGUAGCAAACAG